rnacentral:sRNA from 1 species
GCUAUCUGCGAUAUGGAAGAUUCGAACCUGCCGCAGGUCCGGGUCUCACGCAGUGAGACAACGGAGCCGUUUACGGCGACGGCCCGAAGGGCGAGCGAAGCGAGUCAUCCUGCACGACCCACCA